AAUUUCAAAAGCUGCGUUUUAAACACGAAAACGGAAGCUAAAAAUUUCCCCAAAAAAAAAUUCCCCCAAAAUUUUCCCUCCUCCCUUCGCCCACCACUGGCUACCAUUGCCACCAGCUACCACCAUCCAUCUCCAUCUUUAGUCACAAGGUACCGUGCGGUCUCCAUCCCCUGUAUCGCCAUCUCCGACAACCCAUCCACCAGGUAAGACCCAUCUUCGUCUCCAUCCACGACGACCCAUUACACCGCCGACGAUCCCAGUCGAAGCACCACCACAACCGACGAGCCCAGCCAUCAAAAGAGAGAAAAAAGAACUAAAUCUCUGCAACCAUGCUAGUUUACUAGGAUCUUCUCACAGGUGAAGACAGCACAUUGCAGAAGCCAUUGUUCUUUCUAGAUGACAAUUAGAGGAAGAUUACGGACUUGGUGAUACCUUAUGGACUUAGUGUGGCAGCAAGGAGCUAUAUGUGCAGGUGUUUGAUUCACUUGAAAGACCAUUAACUGAAAAUAUUAACGAGAUGCAGAUGGAUUGUUUUGAAGGUGGUGUUAAUGCAUCUACAAGAUGUCUGCAAUCUGCUUAAUGUGAAGUUUGACAGAAAAAACAUUAUUCUUUCAUUCUAAGAGGAAAAAAUUAUAUUGAAAUGAGUGAUUCUUUUACAUGUUGGAACUUGUAACAUGUAAUUUGAGAAGUUAGGUGGAAUUUUUGAUGGAACAAGUUGAUAUUUGUUCCUUGUACUGCCUAUUUUUGGUGCAUUGAAGUACAAUGUGUUGUGCAGAAGCAUUGACUAAUGUAUUUUACUGGGUGCUUCUUUUCUU